GACAGAGGGUGCAAACGUUGCUCGGAAUCACUGGGCGUAAAGGGCGUGUAGGCGGGAAGGAUAGUCAGAUGUGAAAUCCCCAGGCUCAACCUGGGAACUGCAUUUGAAACUCCCUUUCUUGAGUAUCGGAGAGGAAAGCGGAAUUCCUGGUGUAGAGGUGAAAUUCGUAGAUAUCAGGAGGAACACCAGUGGCGAAGGCGGCUUCUGGACGGUUACUGACGCUGAGACGCGAAAGCGUGGGGAGCAAACAGG
rnacentral:rRNA from 1 species